CAUCCCGCACCCUGCUGCUGCACCGGGCAGAGUCCGGGCCAGAAAAGGAGGGACCACCCAAAACAAGGAGGAGCUGAAUGGAGGUGGGCGGGGCCCGCGAGAGCCACACACUCACACCCUCCCCGUCGCCUCUGCAAGGACCGUCGUUGUCCUUGGGUCCUGGGACCGUGUGUUGAAGCUCCUCCAAAGUCCCCACGAGGGGCCUGGCUGGCCAGGCGACUCUGCACUACCCCGGCCAGUUUAACCUAAGAAAGGCAGGGUGACCAUUUGGACCUACAAGUGAAGGCACCUCACAAAGGGAUUUACCCUGAGUCACCUGCUCCUGGAGGGUCACUAGGAGGACCCCCGCGGGGCUUUCUUUCCACAGUUUUGUCAGCACGACCCCCUUGAACUCCGGCGAGCCACAGAAUGAUACAGGACAGAGUCCUGGGUCCAGUCUCAGCCGCAUCCCUUGCGAGUGUGACUGUACUUCUGUCUCUUCACCCGUCCGCUUGGGGGCAUCACAGGUGGAGUCGGCCCACACCCGCCCCAGAGAACCGGCGGGGAGGGGCCAGGCCUGCGCCCAGCAGAUACUUAGAAACAGCUCCUUUCUGUAGAAAGAACGGAAGUGCCCGCCUUUCUCUCACUUCCUUUCUGGGGCCUGGGCGGGUUGGCCUGUGACUGGCCAGCUGUUAUUUUUGGGCGUCGGUUGCUCCGUGUGAAACCCCGGUCCCCCCAGAGAGGAAGGGGGGGCACCAGGUGACCUCGCCGUUGGUCUGGGGUGCAGCCGGCCCAGGUGCAGUGGUUACUGCCUCAGAGUGAAACCCACACUGGUCAGGCUGGUUCUGCGGCCAGGUUUCCUAGCAGAUAAGCACCGUGUGCGGUAUUUACAGACACUCAGAACGCAGAGGGGCUGCGGUCCGCUCCCCCGGUUUUGACAGGACGGAAACUGGGGCCCAGCACCUCAAGCGCCUGCUCUGAGGCCACACACGGAGCUUGGGACACCAACAGGACCAGAGUCCAGAGUCUGGACCCCUCCGAGGGGCGGCAGGCUUGCCUGUUUGGAGGAGGAACGUGCUGAGCUUUGAGGACCCUGAGCAUCUCCGCCCACCCCGUUGUUCCCAGGGUCCUGGGCCUCCUGGUGGGUGGGCAGGGCUGAGCCUCAGGGGGAGGCAGGGCCAUGAGACUGUGUGCCGUCUGGGGUCCCAGAGUCCGCGUCAGGGCAGACGGGGAGAGCCACCUCCGUCCCCCUCACGCCCAUUCAUGGUGGCCUUUAGCGGUCUUCCCUGCUGCGCCAUCUGGGCUGCUCUUUGGCGACCCCCGUGACCCGACUUCACCGCACUGAAAGCGGCUGUGUGGUGACCCCGCACCCCCACGCUUGUUGGGCUUGUGCCACAAGCCAGACGUGGUCAGGGCUGUCCUCACGGACAGGGUGAGGUGCCAAGAAAGCUUUGCAGGAGCCGACGGGUCCCCCUAGCAAGUAUCUGGGCACAGAGCUCUCCCGGCCCAGGGACUGCACAGCAAGGCCCUGACGUGCUUGAGGCCCAGAGAGGGAGCCCGUGUGUGGGGUCGUGCGGCUCCUAGAGGGAAGGGCCCGGGUGCAGGGACCUGGCCUCAGGCUCCCACUCCGAGGGCUCUGGCAGAGGACGACGAAGCAGUGACCUGGGCUACAGGUGGCACUCGGCCCGGGCGGGGAUCCCACGGACGAGGGCGCAGGCAGGAGAGAGGCCACCUGGCCCAGCCAGGUGAGGGGGGAAGUGGCUCGAAGCAGGCGGGGCAGGAGAAGGUGGGAGGUGGUGGUCUCAGAAUCACCGUGAAGGGGACCCCUGAACCUUCCAACAGAUGUGGGUGGGCCGUGGAGGGAAGCGGGGCGUCCGAGCCGCUCGGGGCCGGGUGCCCGUACCGCCCUCCCAGCCAGCCUCCCAGAGCCCCGCCAGGCUGCAAGUGAACGAGGCCGCCCACAGGCCUGGCGCUCUGCUCGGCGAGGGCUCGGACACGGUUCUGAGGGUGACGACACCAGAGUCACCGCUCACGAGAACCUCGGGCAAGUCUCCCAUCUCCACGUCCAUCUUCCUCGUGAGACAGGCAUUGAUGGGUCUCUCCUCUCCUCCCCAGAUCCCUCCCGAGGAGACAGGUGGCUACACAUCAGGGGCUGAAACACGAGGCGAGCAGGGCUGGGCCCGGGGGGCUGAGGGGCUGCCCUGGGGCCAUGGUGGCCGAGAGGGGGUUCCCUCCCGACGGCAGAGGCAGAGCUGAGGCGCAAGGAAGACAGAGCAUCAGGCGGGCGGAAGGAAGGAAGAGUGUUUCAGGCAAAAGGAACAGCAUGUGUGAGGGCCCUGAGCCAGCACAGGGGGUGGCAGCUGAGGAACGAAAAGGGGUUUACAGGCAGAGAAGUGCUGGCUGGUGGGCCAGUGGUGACACAGGUGUGCUUGUGACACAGGUGUGGGCGUGGUGGUGACACAGGUGUGGCAUGGUGGUGACACAGGUGUGGCCAUCUCUGCUUGUCAUCCCCAGCGUGGUUCCCAGCAAGGUCUCCCCAGCCCCCACCAACCCGGGCAGCAAGUGGCGUGGAGCGGCAGCCGGGAGGGGCCCUGGGCCGGGGUGGCAGGGACUCGGGGGGCAGGGCCCUGUGCCCUGCUUUGGGCCCAGCGGCACUCCACGUCACAUGCGGGGAUGGUGGUGCGGAGGCUGGCCCAUGAAGCCCCUUCCCCCAGAGUGGAGUCAGAGCCAUCCUGACCCCACAGGUGUUGUUUCUGGAAGAAGGAUCCAGGGCUUACCCUGCUGGGACGGGUGAGACCCACCCCUCGCACCACCACCCAAGCCCACCGGGCCUCGGAGGGCGUCCUGUGGGCUCUGAGGAGGGGGCGGGGGUCACUCUUGGGGAAGAGGUUGAGGCCUUCAUCUCACCCCAUCCUCGCUGCCCCACUCUACAGAUGAAGAAACUGAGGCUAGGGGAAGGGAGGCGUGAGCCCAAAGCGGGGCCUGGCCGGUGUGUCUGAUGCUGUCCUCGCUGGGUGAUGGGGCCACGGGCUUCGGCCUCCCCCGAGCUCGCGAUUUCACUCCCGGGUAAACCUUCCGGUAGAACAACGUUCACGGCAGCUGUCUCUAACGGCCCCAAACUGAACUUCCCAAGUGUCCAUCAGCCUGAGGACACAGCCCACCCGGGAACGCAGUGGGUGACCUACCGACACACGCGACGCAGGUGGAGCGAGGGGCCCAGAGCACCGGCACAGACGCCCUGUGAGCGCCUCUGUGCGAAGUCCACGGUCAGGCAAAGUGAGUCUGGGGAGAGGUGACACGGCCGGAGGGGCUGGAAACCAUCAGCCUGGGUGCCGGGGAGCAGGACACUGGGGACCGGCACGCCCCGCACUCCAGUCACCCCCGGCACCAGAAGACGCCUGCACCCCGGCCGCCCCAUCCUGCCGUCCACGGGGUCGCACGGGUCACGGGAAAAGGAUCCCGGCUCCCUGGCACCUCACAGCACAUGCCCGGCACGGCCGUGGUGGGGCCUGGGUGGUGACUGGGGACCUCAGGGCAGACAUGCAGCUGCUUGGGGCGGGGGGGCGCUCAGACAAGGGAUAUCCAUCGCUGGAGGUGUCUGGAACUUUCUGGAAAACCCGCCGCAGGGUGCAGAACCAGCCUGGCGUGACCCUCCCCCCACCUCUGGAUGAAGACUUGGGCCGAGUACAGCUUUUCUCGCCGUGAAAAGCCCUCCGGGUACUUUAGCUAAGAACAGUUCUCCACUCAGUCCUUGACAGGCUCCAGGUCACGGCAGGGUGGGCCCCGUGCAGAGCGUCCCUCUACAUCAUCUCCAGCAGCCCCCAGCUCGGCCCCAGAGGCAGGUGCCACCAGUGACUCCACUUCAUGGAGGAGAAAACCGAGGCUCGGAGGGGGAGUCCCUGUAGGGGGGAACGGGGGAGCGAGGACCCAAGCCCCCAGGCUCUCUAACAAGGGCUCUCAUCGUGUGCUCUGGGGACCCCGGUGGGACCCCAGGCCUUUCCGGGGGACCUGCCAUCCAGCCUUGCCAGCCACAGAUCCCAGUGCAGCCCAGUUUCUUCAACAGGUUCUUCCAAUACACAGUCGAUUUCUCAUAACGGACCAUGGAGCAGUCAAGACGAAGCCCUGGCCUUCCGGGGAGGGAGCGUGUGACCAGCUCAGAGGGAAGCACACCAGGUCCCUGGUGGGGGGGGGGGGGUCGGGCUGGGGGGGGGGGACAAGCCCCCUGAGAA